CGAGUUCCGCAGUUCCAUAUUUGUCAAACGAAGAUAAAUAUCUUGAGACACAAGAAAAGUUGAACAAGGUGGAGAAGAAGAUUGAGGAGAUGGAGCUGAAACUCAAGGAUGUCGACUUCUGGACUAACAUGAUGCAAAACAUGUUUCCAGACCAAGUACCUCCGUCCAUGAGAGCGAACCAAACCGAGAACAACAAACAACAUUGAAUGAGAGUUUGAGUUGAUUGGAAAAAAAAAAGUGGUGGUGGGACACAUGGAGUGUUUGAGUGACAUUAUAUUAGUGUAUAUUUCGAAUAGGCAUUUUGAAUAACCGGAACAACAACAGACUUUUGGAUGCACUCAUUGGCCAUCAGGUUUGGGGCUUUGAACGCGAAACGGCAAAAGUUUGAUUUGAUGAAAGUAGAUCAGAAAUCAACGAGAGCCUGGUUUUACUUGGGGGUUUUAGAUCGUAGUUGUCGGUGAUUAGUUAGCGAUAUUGUUUUGGGCCUGUGACUCUCGCAUUCACCAUUUAUUGUUUUGGGUCUACGACUCUCGCAUCCACAAUUCUUCAAGAGGGGAACCCAUAUUAUAUACGGUACGUAACAGAAUAGAGCAGAAGCUUUCUUGUUCUGAACUGAAGAGAAAAAAAACAAACAGGGAGUUUAAGACAGAGAAGUGAACUAUUCUUGGUAUAUUGCAGCUGGUGUUGUACUGUUACUACCACAGGAAUUCCAAAGCAGAGGAAACAAAAGAGCCUUUGACUGUUUCUUACGUGUGAAAUUAGCACAAAGAUGCAAAUCUAAUGUGGGCGGAAAUACAGAGGGUACUCUCCACAUUAGCCAUCAAGGUAAUAGCUGCUUUGUACGCAAAACGGCAAAAGUUUGAUUUGAUGACUUUCGCUGAUUAGAAUCAACGAGUUACGUGACCGUUUUAGAUCUUAUAGUUUACGGUGAUUAGCUAUAUGCCAUGUUUAGUUAUUGUUUUGGGCCUACGACUCUCGCAUUCACAAUUCUUCCAAAGGGAAGCCCAACAUUUAUUUUACACCAACAUUUGUUUUACAUACAGUAUGCAUGUGAUAAAAGAAACGACAUUUUCAAGCAA